GGGGGCGAAAUUGGUUUCGACAGGGGUAAUGAACUUUUAGUAGCGAGCAGUUGUUAGGAACAACUUAAAAAGCCUAAACAAAAAUAAACGAAAACAAUAAUUUAGCUUACGCAGCAUAAUAGCGUCAUCCGAGGUAGAAGGCCCACGGUCUACUAAGGGUGUCAAAUUAAGUGGGACACGAAACUUCGCAAUGGUUCUAACGAAGUGGGUAUUAAGAACCGCGCCUUGCAGCAGCUGUCAGUAGCUAACUGCUAUGGUCUAUAAGAACUGACUGCGCUCGGAGAGACUGAUUCGGAUUUACUUUUGGACGCGGGUUCGACUCCCGCCGCCUCCACCA
rfam:Peptoniphilus duerdenii ATCC BAA-1640 genomic scaffold SCAFFOLD1, whole genome shotgun sequence.